UGGGGAAUCUUGGACAAUGGGCGCAAGCCUGAUCCAGCCAUGCCGCGUGGAUGAUGAAGGCCUUAGGGUUGUAAAAUCCUUUCGUGGGGGACGAUAAUGACGGUACCCCAAGAAGAAGCUCCGGCUAACUUCGUGCCAGCAGCCGCGGUAAUACGAAGGGGGCUAGCGUUGUUCGGAUUUACUGGGCGUAAAGCGCGUGUAGGCGGGUCGUUAAGUUGGGGGUGAAAUCCCGAGGCUCAACCUCGGAACUGCCUUCAAAACUGGCGACCUGGACCUAAAUAGAGGCAAGUGGAAUUGCGAGUGUAGAGGUGAAAUUCGUAGAUAUUCGCAGGAACACCAGUGGCGAAGGCGACUUGCUGGACUUAUGGUGACGCUGAGACGCGAAAGCGUGGGGAGCAAACAGGAUUAGAUACCCAAGUAGUCCCUGAGCGGGCUGGCAAGGCGCAU
rnacentral:rRNA from 1 species